rnacentral:rRNA from 1 species
AUGGAGCUGGCCAAGACCAUUGUGCUUCUGCUGUGCCUCAUAGGCACGGCGGGAGGCGCAUUGGGAGGAUUUUGCAUCCCGCCACCGAGGUCGGCAGCCAGAACACCACGCUUAGCCACCAGUGUCCUUACUCCUACCACACCACGGCCGUCGCUUGACUGGCGUGCGCGUGGGGCUGUCACGCCGAUCAUGUUCCAGGGACAGAUCGGUUCCUGCUGGGCUAUAUCGUCGGUGGGUGCCAUUGAGGGGCUACACAAGAUCCAAACGGGAAGGCUUGUCAGGCUGUCGAGCCAGCAGAUAUUCGACUGCUCCAACAAAAGUAUGGCCGACUCGGACCUCAAGGCGUUCGACUGGGUUGUCCGCAACGGAGGCGUCGCCUCAGAGGAGACGUACCCGUACGUGGGGCGAGUCCAGGACUGCAAGCGGGAGAAGCUGCAUAUGAUCUCCGCAUCCAUCAGAAGGUACAAGAUGGACAUCCGCGACGAGCUCGACCUCUUGGUCGCCGUCUCUUACAAGCCGGUGUCCGUCAGGAUGUGGCUUGACCCACCAAGCUUCUACAACUACACUGGGGGCAUCUUCACGGGACCAUGCGGGAAGGAAGCCCAUGGCAUGUUGCUGGUGGGUUAUGGUGCCCUUGCGGACGGCAGAGAAUACUGGAUCUUAAGAAAUUCUUAUGGCGUUCAUUGGGGUGACCAGGGCUACUUCUACGUGAAACGUGGCGCCUACCAUCUGCCAGGCCUCUGCGGCCUUGCUUUUCUGGUUGCAGAACCCGAAUAG